rnacentral:snRNA from 1 species
AUGCUCAUUUUGGCAGCACAUAUACUAAAAUUGGAAUGAUACAGAGAAGAUUAGCAUGGUCCCUGCACA